UACGGGGGGGAGCAAGCGUUGUUCGGAUUUACUGGGCGUAAAGGGCGCGUAGGCGGCGCAACAAGUCACUUGUGAAAUCUCCGGGCUUAACCCGGAGCGGCCAAGUGAUACUGUCGUGCUAGAGUGCGGAAGGGGCUACUGGAAUUCUCGGUGUAGCGGUGAAAUGCGCAGAUAUCAGGAAGAACACCCGUGGCGAAGGCGGCUCUCUGGGGACGGUACUGACGCUGAGACGCGAAAGCGUGGGGAGCGAACAGG
rnacentral:rRNA from 1 species